rnacentral:tRNA from 1 species
GGAGACAUGGCUGAGUGGUCGAAAGCGCUCCCCUGCUAAGGGAGUAGUCGCACAAAAGCGGCUCGAGGGUUCAAAUCCCUCUGUCUCCGCCA